rnacentral:rRNA from 1 species
GGAGUCUGGGCCGUGUCUCAGUCCCAAUGUGGCCGUUCAACCUCUCAGUCCGGCUACUGAUCGUCGCCUUGGUGAGCCGUUACCUCACCAACUAGCUAAUCAGACGCGAGCCCAUCUCAGAGUGAUAAAUCUUUGAUACACAGAUCAUGCGGUCCAUGUAUGUUAUGAGGUAUUACCAUCCGUUUCCAGAAGCUAUCCCUCUCUCCAAGGCAGGUUGCUCACGUGUUACUCACCCGUCCGCCACUAAGAUAUCUUAAGUAAACUCAAAAUAUCUCCGUUCGACUUGCAUGUGUUAAGCGUGCCGCCAGCGUUCGUCCUGAGCCACUGAUCAAACUACU